AUUCCAAGCUCCUUUAUAGGGGUUGCGAGUGUCUUUGUUCCCCCUGUUGGGUGACUAGCACACCCUCAUUUAGGCCACAUGCCAAGUCCUCUGCUGCCCUCUGGUAAAAGUCCAAAUAAAAGCAAAGCAAUGUUGAAGAAGUCAUCAACAACAUGGCAGAGUUCUGUGUCCCCAUUCCCUUCAUUGGAAACUGCAGUCAUUCUCCCAAGGUUACAGGUUUAUUGCUGAGGCUCGAUGCCUACACUACAAUCCACUGCUCCUGGCAGUCAUUUUUUUCCCCAUUUUGUUGUUGUUGGAUAGGACAGAAAGAGACUGAGAGGGGAGGGGAAGAUAGAGAGGGAAAGACACCAGCAGACCUGAGACCCCGCUGUGCCUCACCCACUGGCCCACCAGGAUGCUGUGCCCGCCCAGCCGCCACUGAGGAGAUCCAGGCCCUGGCCGACCAGGUGCAGACCCAGCUGGAGGAGAAAGAGAACUAGAAGUUCAGCAUGUCUAAGGCCAUUGAGUUCAAGACCCAGGUGGUGAACUAGAAGUUCAGCAUGUCUAAGGCCAUUGAGUUCAAGACCCAGGUGGUGGCCGGGACCAUCUACUUCAUCAAGGUGCAAGUGGAUGGCGAGCGUGUGUUCCAGAGUCUCCCGCACAAGAACAAGCCCCCGGCCUUGCACAACUACCAGACAGGCAAGGCCACACACGAGGAGCUGACAUACUUCCAGACCAGCGAGUGCGCAGCCUUUGCCCCUCUGCACCUCCCCCAGGACCCGCUGUCCUCCCAAAGGUGGUUCUGUUCCUUUCAAAAUACAGAUUUCUUAUGUCUUUGCAAAAAAAAAAAAAAAAAAAGACACCAGCAGACCUGCUUCACCACUUGUGAAACGAUCCCCCAGCAGGUGGGGAGCUGGGAGCUUGAACCUGGGUUCUUGCACAGGUCCAUGUGCUUAACCAUUCUUUCUUUUUCCACCAAAGUUAUUGCUGGAGCUCAGUGCCUAUAGAAUGACUAUACUGCUCAUGGUGGCUUUUUUUUUUUUCCAUUUUUCCUUUGAUAGCAGGUGAGAUACAGAGAUAAAGAAGGAGAAACAGAGGGAAGGAAGAGACACCUUCCUGCUCCACUAGUGAAGUUUUCCCUCUUCAGGUGGGGAUUCAAGCCUUAAACCCAGAUCCUCAAGCAUGGUAAUAUGUGAGCUUAGGAGGGGUACCAUCAUUCAUCCCCAUAAUUUUUUUUAAACUAGAUAUCACCGUUGAGCUCUGAUUUAUAGUGGUGCCAGGGGAUUGAACCUGGCAUCUCCAAGACUUAGGCACGAAAGCCUUUUGCAUAACCAUUAUGCUAUCUCCCCCAGUUAGAAUUUUCAAAUGAAAACACAGAAACACGUAAGAGGAAAGGAGCCAGAGAAUAAUCUAAGAAAGGUAUAUACACCUUUUUGUGCCCGCAUGCAGGCUUGCUGUAACAGAGUUGUCACAUCAGCACAUGAGAGAAACAAGUAGACUUACUCAAUGGGGCCAGAGAAAUAGCUCACUUAGGGCACUACCUUGCCAAGUUCAAGCCCAAUUCCCACCUCAUUGAAGGAAACUUCAGUGUUGUGGUCUCUUUCACUCUUUCUCUCUCUCUUUACCAGAGUACUGCUCCGCUCUGGCUGAUGGUGGUGCAGGGGAUUGAUCUCUGCCUAUCUAUAUAAAAGAAGGCUCCCACCUUCAGUGGGGACACUUCACAAGUGACAAAGCAGUACUGCAGGUGUCUACUUUUUUUUCUCUCCCUAACUCCCCCCUCUGCUCUCAACUUCUCUGUCCUAGCAAAUAAAAUGGGGUAGGGGGAAUGGCCACCGGGAGUGGUGGGUUCAUAGGGGCAAACGCUAGAAGAAGAAGAAGUACUUGCACUGGGCCUCAGUGAUAACCCUGGAGGCAAAAAAAAAAAAAAAAAAAAAAAAAAAGGAAGGAAGGAAGGAAGGGAAAAGAAAGAAAAAAGGGAAAGAAAGGCUUGUUCAAUGUUCUGGGAUUUAAUGGUCCCAGUCAAUGGUCUUAAGACUCCAUUUGAUACUCCUCCAAGUUUCUAGCUGGUGCUUCCACUCCAACUCAUCUCCCGACCACCUUGCACAAGCUCCCACCCCCUUGUCAAGCCUGGCUCUGUCCCAGCCAUUUCUCUCCUGGUGUCAACACUGGCCUCCUUUUUAUUUCCCUUCUCCAAAUGCUCAGCACAAAACUUUCUGGGCCUAAAUUCGCAGCUUCCCGGUUUUCUCCAUCUCUGACGAUGGGAUCAUGAAAAUGGCGGCAGGGAUAAGGGUUCAAAAAAAAAAAAAUCUACGUAAAACAGUUGCUGAGAGGAUUAGACGUUCUCUGUAUUUGAGGACUUUUUGGAAACUGCAACCGAUCACACAAAUAUAAAUCUGUAUAGCCGGGAGUCGGGCGGUGGCGCAGCGGGUUAAGCGCACGCGGCGCAAAGCGCAAAGACCGGCUUAAGGAACCCGGUUCGAGCCCCCGGCUCCCCACAUGCAGGGAAGUCGCUUCACAGGCGGAGAAGCAGGUCUGUAGCUGUCUGUCUUUCUCUCCCCCUCUCUGUCUUCCCCUCUCUCCAUGUCUCGCUGUCCUAUCUAACAAUGACAUCAACAGUAACAAAAAUUAAAAAAAAAGGGCAGC